AGCGAACGCUGGCGGCAUGCUUAACACAUGCAAGUCGCGCGGCCGGCAACGGCAGCGGCGGACGGGUGAGUAACGCGUGGGGAUCUGUCUCUGGGUGGGGGACAACCGUGGGAAACUACGGCUAAUACCGCAUGAAGCCUGAGGGCCAAAGCAGCGAUGCGCCUGGAGAGGAACCCGCGUACGAUUAGCUUGUUGGCGGGGUAAAGGCCCACCAAGGCGACGAUCGUUAGCUGGUCUGAGAGGAUGAUCAGCCACACUGGGACUGAGACA
rnacentral:rRNA from 1 species